rnacentral:rRNA from 1 species
AUGGACAUGGACAGCGUGGAGUGCCUCUCCCUCCCGGACGCCUCCAUGGACGUAGACGACGUCGACAGCCACCAGCACCAGCAGCACCACCACAGCAUCCCGAUCCAUCCCGUGCACCUCGCCGCUAACGGGGGCGUCGGAGGACGCGCGUUCGCGAAGAUGAAUGCCGGGGGCGCGGCCGCGGCCGGGGGAGUGGGUGCUACCGCGGCCGCCGCCGGCGGGCCACCGGCGACCAGCGUACACGAAUUGCUCGAGUGUCCUGUCUGCACCAACUCCAUGUUCCCGCCCAUCCACCAGGUAGGUGCUCUUCGUGGCACUCCGCGUUCCCUGAUUUGGGGGUGGCUUGUCUACGCUUCUCGAUUUGAGAUGAGUAUGCGUGUGGGUUUGAGUCUAGAACUGGAUCCGGUGGCUGUGAUUAGGGUAUUCAGGUGCACAAAGGUUGGUCUUUAUGCUAAUUUUGAUGGGAUCGAAUUAGACUCGCGUAUUCUAGCGGAAUCGUUUAGCUGGAAUGGGGAUUUUUGCUCCCUGUAG